GUUGAGGAGUCCAAUUCUUUUGAGUCAGAAUGCCAACGAAGAUCAUGGAUCAGAGGCAUCGCCACAUACCGGCGGCAUCUUUGUUCUCUGAAGAACUCCGAUUCCCGUCUGAGAAACACAUUGGAAUUUGGCAGACUGACUUCAUGGCUGGCAGUCAGGGCACUGAGGGAACGCCAUUAUUAUCCGGAAGUAGGACAGUUUCUUCACUCCCAUUCGAAAAACCUCGGCCAAUUGGAGGAAAUACGU
rnacentral:misc_RNA from 1 species